rnacentral:lncRNA from 1 species
UUCUGACAGUGGUAGUUCCAAGGGGUCUUUUUGAGUACUCUUACGAGACCUCCAGACCCAGCCCAGCCCAGCCAUGCCACAGCUGUCUAGACUGGGCGUUUGCUUCCAAUUUUUUUUUUUUUUUUUGGCCCUGGAUUCCCUUUAUUUGUUCCAAAUGAACUCUUAGAAGGAACUCCAACAAAUAAAACAACUAAAUCAGAGCUGUUCCUUUUAAAGCAGGCUGGAGGCUGGGUUCCACGUCCUUUGCCUCUGCUCCUCAGCCCCUGCACUCUUGGUGGCCCUCGCGUUACUUCCGUGAACCCUUAGGAGUCUCUGGAAGACAUUAAAGCCACUCAUUGGGUGGACAGUCACUUUUGGUCAUUCCUGCUGAUCCAGGGACUUUCUGGUAGAUGAAUCGGUGGAUUUGAAAAUGGUCUCGUCUCAGAGGAUUUGAAGACAAUAAGAGUUUUGACCUAGGUGGACAACAAAUCUUGGCCCUGUUUUUCAUUGACUUAAUCUCAAAAUGAGGGCUUUUUCUUUUCUAAGUUCCAAUCCCUGGCUGCUUUGCUUGCUCUUCAUUUUAUUACUGAUUUUCCUUCAUGUGAGGAAAAGGGUAGGUGAGGAAUGCAUUUCUAUAUAAUCACACCUUUAAACUAAACUUGAACACCCCCAAUGCCCAUUAACUGAUGAGUGGAUGAACAAAAGGUUUCCAUUCCUUUAACUAUUCUCCAAACAAAGGAAUGAGUGCCAGGCACGGUGGCACACUCCUGUAAUCCCAGCUGCUCUGGAGGCUGAGGCAGGAGGAUUGCAAGUGCAAGGUCAGCCUGGGCAACUCGGUGAGACCCUGCUUCAAUGGGAUAUAGCUCAGCAGCAGAGCACUUGCCUUGCACAUGCUAGGCUCUGGGUUCAAUCCCCAAUACUGCCCCCUCCCCCCCAAAUGAAUUUCUGAUACAUGCUACAAUAUAAGUGAACCUUGAAAACAUCAUGCCGAGUAUAAGAGGCCAGACAUGCAAGAUAACAUGUUGUAUGAUUCCAUUUAUAUGAAGUGUCCAGACCAGGCAAAUCCCUAUAGAUAGAAAGCAGAUUAGUGGUUGGAAGGGGCUGGGGGAGGAGGGUUGGGCACUAAUUGCUUGUGGAUAUGGGAUAUCUUUUUGGGAGGAUUUGAAAAUGUUCUGGAAUUAGAAAGUGGUAAUAAUUGCAUAACUUUGAACAUGUACUAAAAACAACUGAAUUGUACACUUUGUGAUAUGUUUAAUUCCAUUUAAAAAUUAAAAUACACAUUCUAUUUGCAAAU